rnacentral:rRNA from 1 species
AUUGAACGCUGGCGGCAUGCCUUACACAUGCAAGUCGAACGGCAGCGGGGGAGAAGCUUGCUUUUCCUGCCGGCGAGUGGCGAACGGGUGAGUAAUACAUCGGAACGUGCCCUGUAGUGGGGGAUAACUAGUCGAAAGAUUAGCUAAUACCGCAUACGACCUGAGGGUGAAAGUGGGGGACCGCAAGGCCUCAUGCUAUAGGAGCGGCCGAUGUCUGAUUAGCUAGUUGGUGGGGUAAAGGCCCACCAAGGCGACGAUCAGUAGCUGGUCUGAGAGGACGAUCAGCCACACGGGGACUGAGACACGGCCCAGACUCCUACGGGAGGCAGCAGUGGGGAAUUUUGGACAAUGGGCGAAAGCCUGAUCCAGCAAUGCCGCGUGUGUGAAGAAGGCCUUCGGGUUGUAAAGCACUUUUGUCCGGAAAGAAAAGGACUGCCCUAAUACGGUGGUCCCAUGACGGUACCGUAAGAAUAAGCACCGGCUAACUACGUGCCAGCCGCCGCGGUAA